rnacentral:rRNA from 1 species
CGAGAGCUUGCUCUUGGUGGCGAGUGGCGGACGGGUGAGUAACACGUUGGAAUCUACCCCGUACUCAGGGAUAACCCACCGAAAGGUGGACUAAUACCGGAUGGUCUCGUAAGAGUAAAGCUUUUGCGGUACGGGAGGAGCCUGCGGUCUAUCAGUUUGUUGGUGAGGUAAAAGCUCACCAAGACUAUGACGGAUAGCUGGUGUGAGAGCACGACCAGCCAGAAUGGGACUGAGACACGGCCCAUACUCC